GUGAGUAAUACAUCGGAACGUGCCCAAUCGUGGGGGAUAACGCAGCGAAAGCUGUGCUAAUACCACAUGAGAUCUACGGACGAAAGCAGGGGACCGCAAGGCCUUGCGCGAAUGGAGCGGCCGAUGGCAGAUUAGGUAGUUGGUGAGGUAAAGGCUCACCAAGCCUGCGAUCUGUAGCUGGUCUGAGAGGACGACCAGCCACACUGGGACUGAGACACGGCCCAGACUCCUACGGGAGGCAGCAGUGGGGAAUUUUGGACAAUGGGCGCAAGCCUGAUCCAGCCAUGCCGCGUGCAGGAUGAAGGCCUUCGGGUUGUAAACUGCUUUUGUACGGAACGAAAAGGCUUUCUCUAAUAAAGAGGGCUCAUGACGGUACCGUAAGAAUAAGCACCGGCUAACUACGUGCCAGCAGCCGCGGUAAUACGUAGGGUGCAAGCGUUAAUCGGAAUUACUGGGCGUAAAGCGUGCGCAGGCGGUGAUGUAAGACAGUUGUGAAAUCCCCGGGCUCAACCUGGGAACUGCAUCUGUGACUGCAUUGCUGGAGUGCGGCAGAGGGGGAUGGAAUUCCGCGUGUAG
rnacentral:rRNA from 1 species